GCCCUGGUGGCGGAACUGGCAGACGCGCAUGGCUCAGGACCAUGUGGGGGCAACCCCUUGGAGGUUCGAGUCCUCUCCAGGGCA
rnacentral:tRNA from 1 species